GCCAGGUGUGGUGCAUGCCUGUGGUCCUAGCUACAGGGGAGGCUGAGGCAGGAGGAUUGCUUGAGUCCAGGACUUCAAGGCUGUAGUGAGCUAUGAUCACACCACUGCACUCCAGCCUGGGCAACAAAGCGAGACCCUGUCUCUA
rfam:Homo sapiens chromosome 1, GRCh38 reference primary assembly.